GGCCGCCCCCGUCCCCAGCAGCGGGGAAAGGGUGGUGCUGAAGCGGACCUAGAAGGUCCAACAGGCUAGCGAGAGAGUGGUGACAGAAAUGCUACGUAAGUGCCUCGGAAGUUUUAUGGGAGACGUCGUCCAGGAGAAGCUAGCGUGCUAGAGAAGCCCUCCAUGACCCUCUGAGCUGCUGGCUGAGCCGCUCACAAACCGCGAACAAACUCUGGUCUCCCACUCUUUCCAACCUCAGCAUAUUGGUGCCACUCUCAGCCACGUGGUUUGGACAAUAUCACAUCAUUGAUGCCAAAUCGGUAGUCGCUGUUAGGAUCUGCAGGCUUCGUAGCUACACUGGAAUGGCUUUCUCCACCCCACUCACUGCUGGUCUCUUGGGGGUACAGGGCACUGUAUGCCUAGCCUGCUGGGCCUCACUCAAGGUGGUGCUGGGCCUCACUCGCCAUGGCACCCACACAGGGGCCUCAGCCUGGCCCCUCGCUUCUUGAAGCUGAGUGACCAGGGCAGAGCGGCCAGAAUGCACACGGCCCAGGCCUAGCAGCUCUCAGCUGAACGGUCAAACUCCUGUGGAGUCCCACGUGGAGGGAGACGCAUUGACCGUGAGGAGCGUCAGAAGACAAGACGC